rnacentral:misc_RNA from 1 species
GAUGAAGAACGUAGCGAAAUGCGAUAAGUAAUGUGAAUUGCAGAAUUCAGUGAAUCAUCGAAUCUUUGAACGCACAUUGCGCCCGCCAGUAUUCUGGCGGGCAUGCCUGUCCGAGCGUCAUUUCAACCAUCAAGCCCCCGGGCUUGUGUUGGGGACCUGCGGCUGCCCGCAGGCCCUGAAAACCAGUGGCGGGCUCGCUGUCACACCGAGCAUAGUAGCAAUCACCUCGCUCAGGGCGUGCUGCGGGUUCCGGCCGUUAAACAGCCUUACAAAACCCAAGGUUGACCUCGGAUCAGGUAGGAAGACCCGCUGAACUUAAGCAUAUCAAUAAGCGGAGGA